GCCUUCGUGGUCUAGUGGUUAUGACGCUCGCCUUGUUAGCGAGAGGUCGCAGGUUCGAAUCCCGUCGGAGGCA
rnacentral:tRNA from 1 species